rnacentral:rRNA from 1 species
GACAGAGGGUGCAAACGUUGCUCGGAAUCACUGGGCGUAAAGGGCGUGUAGGCGGGCAGGAAAGUCAGAUGUGAAAUCCCUGGGCUCAACCCAGGAACUGCAUUUGAAACUCCCUUUCUUGAGUACCGGAGAGGAAGGUGGAAUUCCUGGUGUAGAGGUGAAAUUCGUAGAUAUCAGGAGGAACACCGGUGGCGAAGGCGGCCUUCUGGACGGUAACUGACGCUGAGACGCGAAAGCGUGGGGAGCAAACAGG